AUCCAGUUGACGAGUCCCAAAUAGGACGAAGCGCGCGUCCUGGAC
rfam:Schistosoma mattheei strain Denwood, Zambia genome assembly, scaffold: SMTD_scaffold0004076